GCGAUGGCGGCCGUACGCGGCCUGCGAGUGUCGGUGAAGGCUGAGGCCUCAGCGGGGCCGGCCUUGGGGCUCCCGUUGCCUGAGGAGGAAUCCGGUUUGGAGCGUGGCGAGCCGGAGCCCAUGGAGGUGGAGGAGGGCGAGCUGGAGAUUGUGCCGGUGCGGCGCUCGCUGAAGGAACUGAUCCCGGACACAAGCAGAAGAUAUGAAAAUAAGGCUGGCAGUUUCAUCACUGGAAUUGAUGUCACCUCCAAGGAAGCAAUUGAAAAGAAAGAACAGCGAGCCAAGCGCUUCCAUUUUCGAUCAGAAGUAAAUCUUGCCCAAAGAAAUGUAGCCUUGGACCGAGACAUGAUGAAGAAAGCAAUCCCCAAAGUGAGACUGGAGACGAUCUAUAUUUGCGGAGUAGAUGAGAUGAGUACCCAGGAUAUCUUUUCCUAUUUUAAAGAAUAUCCUCCAGCUCACAUUGAAUGGUUGGAUGAUACAUCCUGUAAUGUGGUUUGGCUGGAUGAAAUGACAGCCACACGAGCCCUUAUCAAUAUGAGCUCUCUGCCAGACCUGGAUAAGAUAAGAAGCAGGGAUGCUAAUGAGGACAAGUCAUCUGAGAAAAGCAAAAAAGACAAGCAGGAAGACAGUUCAGAUGAUGAUGAGGCUGAAGAAGGAGAAGUUGAAGAUGAAAACUCAAGUGAUGUAGAGUUGGACACAUUAUCUCAGGUAGAAGAAGAGUCUCUGCUAAGAAACGAUCUUCGUCCAGCUAACAAACUUGCUAAAGGAAAUAGGUUAUUCAUGAGAUUUGCUACAAAAGAUGACAAAAAGGAACUUGGAGCAGCCAGAAGAAGUCAGUAUUACAUGAAAUAUGGGAAUCCAAACUACGGAGGCAUGAAAGGAAUUCUUAGUAAUUCUUGGAAGCGAAGAUAUCAUUCCCGUCGCAUUCAACGGGAUGUGAUCAAGAAGAGAGCCCUGAUUGGGGAUGAUGUUGGCUUGACGUCCUAUAAACAUCGACAUUCCGGACUAGUGAAUGUUCCUGAGGAACCCAUUGAGGAGGAGGAGGAAGAAGAGGAGGAGGAAGACCAGGACAUGGAUGCAGAUGACAGGGUGGUGGUAGAGUACCAUGAGGAGCUCCCAGCUCUCAAGCAGACCCGGGAGCGGAGCACAUCCAGGCGUUCCAGUGCCAGCAGCUCAGACUCCGAUGAAAUGGACUAUGAUCUAGAACUGAAAAUGAUUUCCACUCCUUCACCAAAGAAAAGCAUGAAAAUGACUAUGUAUGCUGAUGAAGUGGAAUCUCAAUUAAAAAAUAUUAGGAACUCCAUGAGGGCAGAUACUAUAUCCACAAGCAAUAUAAAAAAUCGAAUUGGUAACAAAUUACCACCUGAGAAAUUUGUAGAUGUCCGACAUUUAUUAGAUGAAAAACGUCAGCACACACGUCCACGGCCAUCCAGCAGCAGUACUAAAUCAGAUAUACGCCAGCGGUUAGGAAAAAGACCACAUUCUCCAGAAAAGGCUUGUAACCCCAUCAUUCGAAGAGAGCCCUUUUCUGAUGUACAUAGUAGGUUAGGUGUUCCCAGGCAAGACAUUAAAGGCCUCUAUUCUGAUACUUGGGAGAAGAAAUCAGGUAGUUUAUGGACUCGCUUAGGAUCUGCAUCCAAGACCAAAGAAAAGAACAUGAAGAAAGUGGAUCAUAGGGCUCCUGGCACUGAGGAAGAUGACUCCGAGCUGCAAAGGGCAUGGGGGGCUCUGAUUAAGGAGAAAGAACAGUCUCGCCAAAAGAAGAGCCGGACUUAGAAGGCAAGUGGGACACCCCACCCACUGGUGAGCACAGACACUGUGCUUCUGACUCAACUCUCAAGACAGAGAAGCUGGUCCUUUUCCAUCAUGCUGAACACGGCCCUUCCAUCCCGUAAUUGAACCUUUCCUGAGGACAAACAUUCUCUCAUAAUGACCAUAGUAUAGUUAUCAAAUUCAGGUAAUGUAUGAUUUAGUACUGUUUUAACUUUAUCUCAUUGGUACAGUAGUAUCUGUAGUUCAUGUUUUAGUUUUGCCAACUGUCCCAAUAAUGUGGUCCCCCCAACCCCCUGUUUUUAAUGAAAAUCAAUUCCAGCCAGAGUUGGUGCCCUUUGUGUAACUCACCAGGAUAAUGCCAUUCACCUCUCAGCUUUCUGGCCGUAACCAGAGACUUGCCUUCUGGUUACCAUUCCCAGGAAUGAUAUUAUAUUUUGCUGAACCAAUAAUGUUUUUUAGAGCUCUUUGGGAAGGGGGGGUGUCUAGGAUUCAAUCCAGUGUCGGGCACUACAUUUAUUCUCCUUUAGUCUGGAACAAUUCCUUAGCUUUUCUUUGUCUUUUAUGAUAUUAAUGUUUUUGAAGAGUUCCGUUCAUCUAUGUUGUGGAAUGUUCCUUGAGCUGGCCUCUUAACAUUUGUUUAAAAUAAAAUGAGUUCAGAAAUCAUUUUCACAUUCCUUCUGAAUACGUAUGUACUUGCUGCACACCGAGCUUUGUGCACAGCCCUUAGGGUCUUAGGUUUGGGUUUGUGGGGACAGCAGUUACUAUCAGAUGGACUUGAAGAGCCCCUGUGUGUGCUCAGGAUUAGAGGUCUGCCAUGCUGGCAUCAGCGAGCUUGGAUGCAUGCACCUCAUAGGGGCGCAGGGUGGGUCCUCAUUCUAGACAUCACCAAAGAUGCAGAAAAUAGCCUGGUCUCCUGAGGUGUCCUGAAGUUCACACUCCAAAUGUGAAGUCCUGCUUCUCAGAAAUCUCAAGCAAGCUACAGUCCUGGGUUCCAGCCUGUCCCUGCUGCUGGUCUGCUCUGUGGCUUGGGGCUGCUCUUGCCCCUCUGGGACGUUGGUGGGGAGAGGAGCCCCUGUGGCUCUGAACAGGUGUGGGGAGGGGAGAAUCACUGAGCCCUGGUGAGGGGGACAACAGGCCAGGCCUCCUGUCUAUGACAAGGGUUAGCCAACUUGGGAUGGUCUCCAUCGUGAUCUGGGAGGCAAAUCAUCAGACCGUCAGACCUGGAACUUCGUUUUUCAGCUGUUGAACUUCUCUGUUAGAUGGCUUCAAAUAUGAAAUUGGUGAAUUGUAAUCUAUCUAACAGCCAUGUAACAUCAGGGUCUGUCAUACUAGUAGGUACUUGGUAAAACUAAAGCAGACAAUGCAAAAAUGUUUGAAGUGUCAUCAA